GAUGAAGAACGUAGCAAAAUGCGAUAAGUAAUGUGAAUUGCAGAAUUCAGUGAAUCAUCGAAUCUUUGAACGCACAUUGCGCCCGCCAGUAUUCUGGCGGGCAUGCCUGUUCGAGCGUCAUUUCAACCCUCAAGCUCAGCUUGGUGUUGGGACUCGCGGUAACCCGCGUUCCCCAAAUCGAUUGGCGGUCACGUCGAGCUUCCAUAGCGUAGUAAUCAUACACCUCGUUACUGGUAAUCGUCGCGGCCACGCCGUAAAACCCCAACUUCUGAAUGUUGACCUCGGAUCAGGUAGGAAUACCCGCUGAACUUAAGCAUAUCAAUAAGCGGAGG
rnacentral:misc_RNA from 1 species